rnacentral:rRNA from 2 species
UACGGAGGGUGCAAGCGUUAUCCGGAUUCACUGGGUUUAAAGGGUGUGUAGGCGGAUAUUUAAGUCAGUGGUGAAAUCUCAAGGCUCAACCUUGAAACUGCCAUUGAUACUAUUUAUCUUGAAUAUCGUUGAGGUAGGCGGAAUAUAUCAUGUAGCGGUGAAAUGCUUAGAUAUGAUAUAGAACACCGAUUGCGAAGGCAGCUUGCUAAACGAUUAUUGACGCUGAGGCACGAAAGCGUGGGGAUCAAACAGG